CCCCUUCACUAUGCACAGACAGCAUAUGUCAGCCAUGUUCGGGGGAUUUGGAAAUCCUCUUGGGUUUGACCCAUUCCUGAGCAUUACAGAUGGACGGGCUGGCACUCCCCAGCUUCCAGGACCCCUUCAGCACAACCGCAGGAUGCUUCAGUCUCACGCCCUCACCCCAUUUGGGAUGUUCGGUAUGGGUCGAGGAGGUUUCGGUGAUAUGUUUGGGAUGAUGAACAGCAUGUUCACCAACAUCAACUCGCUCAUGGAUAACGUGGUGA